CUGUGUAAGACACUUUACAGACAUUAUUUCAUUACAUCCUUGCAACUAUCAUGUGGGAUAGGCCCAAGAGUUGUCCCCUUUUUACAGAUGAAGAAACUGAGGUCCAGAGAAAUAAAAUGAUUCCACUGAGAGAAUACACCUGGGAAGUGUUCAGAAUGCAACACUGGGCCCCAGAGUUCUUUCUAUUCCACAUCUCUGCCCAGGAGUACUGUAAGAUGGUAUUUAUGUGAUGGUUUAUGCCCUCUUUGAUUACAACACUACUUGUAUAAAAAUCAUUGCCAUAUUUGGCCACAGAAAAUAAAGUUUUUGUUCCAUAGAAGUAAUUAGGAGAGCUUUUUAAUUAACUACUAGUAAGGGGGUGUUAAUUAUCCACUUAUUUUCAAUAGUGAAUGGUAUCAUCCCCACACUUAUUAUUAUUGCUGUGGGCCUCAGUUUCUCCUCCUGGAAAAAGUGGGACAAGAUUAGGUCAUUCCUCGGGUCCCUCUGGCUCUGGCAUUCUAGGAUUCUCUGCUUAUGUGAUCCCUCCCAGACAGCAAGAAAGUCCAUAAAUAGUCAUGUCAUAAAACAGCUCAUUUGAACUUUUGAACCAUUUUGGCUGAUCCAAAUGUUGAUUGUUUUGGAAGUUUUUAAUUCUGUGUUUUAGCCAAAGCAUAUUGCAGUAGCACGAGGCUGUGUCUUUCAACUAGUAGUGAACACUCCCAUGCCUCUUGGCUUUUCAAAGCCUACCGAGCUUCUCUCCUGGUUUGUGGAAUAAAAUGCUAGAAUAGUAUAUAAUACAUGUCACAUAGCAUGAAGAUGACAUGUACAUAUAAUAUAUAAUGAACAUAUACUGGCAAUUAUGUGUGUAUUUAACUGAGAUAAGAGAAACAAAGCUUGGAAAACUGGGUAAUAAAUAUGGUUUCUUCUAGGAAUAACCCAACUUCUUGAUGGAGCUUCCCAGAUUUCUCCCACAAGCAGUGCUUCCAUAAACCAUAGCAACUGAUAACUCUGUUAGGACAUUUCUUAUCUCUCUGUGGUAUAAUCAUACAUAUGUAUCCCUAAUUUUUCCUCCUACAGUCUAGGCUUGCAGAAGGCAGGGAUCACACCUGAUUUUUCUGUGCUUAGCACAGAGCCUUGGGUAUUGUAGAAAUUCAGUAAAUGUUUAAUGAAUGAAUGCAGCAAUGGAGGAAUGAGUGAAUGGUUGAUAUGCUGUGGUGUAUAAUUAAAUCAUUGCUUUUUCACCCAUAGAACACGAGAAGGAAACUAGAUUAUCGUGUCUAACACAGCCCAAGAAAUGACUUGCCCAAGGCCACCCUGGCUGCUUUCCACACAGAGAGUCAUUCCAGUCAGAACGGAGCAACCAGCCCACACUAGACAUCACAGCAGAGGAUGUUUAAUAACAAUUCCUCCUCCUCUUUAGCAGGAGCUGCACCUCUUGGCAUCUGAUCUCUUACGGCUGUGUCCUUCCCAUUCCUAUAGAUCAGCCAGUGAGUGGAGUAGUGACCAGAACUAGCCCUAUCUGAGGAAGCCUAGCACCAUUUCUUUGAGAAGUUGGCCCCCACUCUCCAGGGGACCCCUUGCUCCCCACCCCUGCUUACCUACUCCUUCACCACUCUCAACCUCCUCUUCCUGGGAUUCAUCUAAUGUGCUAACUCCACUCUGAAAGUCCCAUGUGGCUCUGUAAUUGCCAGAAAUCUCUCCCAAAGCAAUGAAGUGGUUCUCAUCCAA